AACGAACGCUGGCGGCAUGCCUAACACAUGCAAGUCGAACGGGAUCCGGACUUCGGUUCGGUGAGAGUGGCGGACGGGUGAGUAACGCGUGGGAACCUGCCCAGUGGUGGGGGAUAACUGCGGGAAACUGCAGCUAAUACCGCAUGAUCCCGAGAGGGGAAAGAUUUAUCGCCAUCGGAGGGGCCCGCGUAUGAUUAGGUAGUUGGUGAGGUAAUGGCUCACCAAGCCGACGAUAGAUAGCUGGUGUGAGAGGAUGAUCAGCCACACUGGGACUGAGAUACGGCCCAGACUCCGACGGGAGGCAGCAGUGGUGAAUAUUGGACAAUGGGGGCAACCCUGAUCCAGCAAUGCCGCGUGAGUGAUGAAGGCCUUCGGGUUGUAAAGCUCUUUUGGCGGGGACGAUGAUGACGGUACCCGCAGAAUAAGCCCCGGCUAACUUCGUGCCAGCCGCCGCGGUAACAC
rnacentral:rRNA from 1 species